AUGCUGCCUUAUCUUGCUGAUGGUUUCAUGGACAAUAAAAGGAAAGAAGGUUACAAAAUGGACAUUACCCAGAUGUCAGGCUUGAAGCUUCAUAAAGUAACUGAACAGAAUUUGGAAAACAAUGGAGAGGAUACAGUGGAGGAUUCAGAGGUUGUAGAAGAUGGUGGAGUCUCUGGAUGGAAGGAAGCUGGGUCUCUGAAUCACAAAGUGAAAGACCACUCACCACACGCCUUAUUGGACAAUGACAUGAAUGAGAACUAA
rnacentral:lncRNA from 1 species